rnacentral:lncRNA from 1 species
UUCUACUCCUCCUCCUUCUUCUUUUUCUUUAGUGAAUCUCUAAUGAGGUCAAGCAUUGGAAUUUCUUCCUCAGAUUCAUGCAUAGAUGGAUCUGUUGGCACCAUAAAUUGGUGUUGCUGCAACACCCCAACAUCUUCCUUUACCUUGUUCAAGGCUGCUCUAAAUUUAGCAAGAUCAGCCCCUGAUAUUUUUUUUGCUCGUGCAUCAAAUCGGUUCUCCAAAUCUGCAACUCAU